GAUCAUGGCUCAGGAUGAACGCUAGCUACAGGCUUAACACAUGCAAGUCGAGGGGCAGCAUGGUCUUAGCUUGCUAAGGCCGAUGGCGACCGGCGCACGGGUGAGUAACACGUAUCCAACCUGCCGUCUACGUCUUGGACAGCCUUCUGAAAGGAAGAUUAAUACAAGAUGGCAUCGAUGAGUUCACAUGUUCACAUGACUUAAAGGUAUUCCGGUAGACGAUGGGG
rnacentral:rRNA from 1 species